UAUUAUUGCUGUAAUCUGUGUUCUGGUUGCUUCAGGACUUGUUGGUCUUGCAAUAUAUCUUAAGAGGAGAAACGGACACUCACAUGCAGAUUCACCUGAAAGAAAGCAAGAUGAUGUUCAGUAUGCAGAGAUAACUCACAUUAAACCAGCAGAAAACCAGGAGGAGCGAACAGGUAUACAAGGACUGAAGUCACUUAGAGACAACCCUAACCUGACAGUUUAUGAUACACUCCAGUUACAUCGCAUGGCUGCCAGCGAGGAUGUUGACACUGCUUAAAGGUGCAAAACAGGAAGGUUCUGAGAGAUCGACAUGGUAAUUCACAUCCAAGAGAAGGUGUUACAUCAUAAAGUGGACGUUGAGACAGAAUUAUAGUAAAUAUUAGAUUAGGAAACCUAAUGGAGUCACAGUUGUUAUUGGAGAAAAUUCCCAUUGAACCAUUGCGCUAUCAGUUCAGACUUCCUGUGUUGGUCAUUCUCACAUUCUUUUGUUGAAUUGGGGCCUCGAUGAGAUUAACUGAUACAGACAAAUUCAAUAGCUAUGCCUAGAGUUAUUAGUAGGGUGAUCCCUCUUUUCAAGUGCCCAUUGUCCCAAUGUAUAGGUUAAAACAAAUGGAACCUCUUAAUACAAUUCACUAGUGUGUUUGAUAUGCUAUUACUGGGCCAAAGCUUAUUUUCAGUAUUGUCUGUUCUGUUGUUUAACAUGUAGGGGAGGGUUACAAUCACUCCCUCCUGCAGACACUCCUUCUAUUAGAGCAUUUUGUGCUCCACCUACAUUAGCCAAGAUACAGAAUAUAACUGUGAAAAAAUACCAAAUCUACCAAUACCAUAGUGAAUUGUUGCACUGGAGGCUUUCAUUUUCAUAGUAGUUACCGGGUAGUUACCAAGACUGAAUAUUAAGACAAUAUACUUCACAUUUCACAAUAAUAAAAUGAGCUU